rnacentral:misc_RNA from 1 species
GGUGAAGAACGCAGCGAAAUGCGAUAAGUAAUGUGAAUUGCAGAAUUCAGUGAAUCAUCGAAUCUUUGAACGCACAUUGCGCCCCCCAGUAUUCUGGCGGGCAUGCCUGUUCGAGCGUCAUUUCAACCAUCAAGCCCUGCUUGUGUUGGGGUCCUGCGGCUGCCCGCAGGCCCUGAAAACCAGUGGCGGGCUCGCUAGUCACACCGAGCGCAGUAGCACAUCUCGCUCAGGGCGUGCGGCGGGCUCCAGCCGUUAAAGCACCCACCUUUCGCAAGGUUGACCUCGGAUCAGGUAGGAAUACCCGCUGAACUUAAGCAUAUCAAUAAGCGGAGGA